rnacentral:rRNA from 1 species
GAUGAACGCUAGCGGCAGGCCUAAUACAUGCAAGUCGGACGGGAUCCAUUGAUAGCUUGCUAUCAAUGGUGAGAGUGGCGCACGGGUGCGUAACGCGUGAGCAACCUGCCUCCAUCAGGGGGAUAGCCUCUCGAAAGAGAGAUUAACACCGCAUAAUAUCAACAGUUCGCAUGUUCAGUUGAUUAAAUAUUUAUAGGAUGGAGAUGGGCUCGCGUGACAUUAGCUAGUUGGUAGGGUAACGGCUUACCAAGGCGACGAUGUCUAGGGGCUCUGAGAGGAGAAUCCCCCACACUGGUACUGAGACACGGACCAGACUCCUACGGGAGGCAGCAGUAAGGAAUAUUGGUCAAUGGGCGGAAGCCUGAACCAGCCAUGCCGCGUGCAGGAUGACUGCCCUAUGGGUUGUAAGCUGCUUUUGUCCAGGAAUAAACCUAAAUACGAGUAUUUAGCUGAAUGUACUGGAAGAAUAAGGAUCGGCUAACUCCGUG